rnacentral:tRNA from 1 species
GCUCGGGUGAUGGAAUUGGUAGACAUAGCAGAUUUAAAAUCUGCUGGUCCUUGUGACCGUGCCGGUUCGAUUCCGGCCCCGAGCAAAU